rnacentral:rRNA from 1 species
GAUGAACGCUAGCUACAGGCUUAACACAUGCAAGUCGAGGGGAAACGACAUCGAAAGCUUGCUUUUGAUGGGCGUCGACCGGCGCACGGGUGAGUAACGCGUAUCCAACCUGCCCACCACUUGGGGAUAACCUUGCGAAAGUAAGACUAAUACCCGAUGAUAUCUCUAUAAGACAUCUGAAAGGGAUUAAAGAUUUAUCGGUGAUGGAUGGGGAUGCGUCUGAUUAGCUUGUUGGCGGGGUAACGGCCCACCAAGGCGACGAUCAGUAGGGGUUCUGAGAGGAAGGUCCCCCACAUUGGAACUGAGACACGGUCCAAACUCCUACGGGAGGCAGCAGUGAGGAAUAUUGGUCAAUGGGCGAGAGCCUGAACCAGCCAAGUAGCGUGCAGGAUGACGGCCCUAUGGGUUGUAAACUGCUUUUAUAAGGGAAUAAAGUGAGUCUCGGGAGACUUUUUGCAUGUACCUUAUGAAUAAGGACCGGCUAAUUCCGUG